GUGCAGCAAACUAAAGUCUGGGUACGAGUGUGUGUGCAAGCCAGGCCUAGAGAUCUGGGAGGACGGAAAAUGCCAUGACCCAGGCCAGUGCAAGACCAAGAAGUGCUCCCACGCGUGUAGUGUGACCUCAACUGAUCCCUGGACUGAAGUUUGUCUCUGUCCUAGAGGGAUGAGCCUCAAUGACUCUUUAAACGACGAAACGUGCAUUGAAUGUGAAGACUGGAAGUACGGUGACGACUGUGCCUUCACGUGUGACUGUAUCCGUGACAGAACCGAGUCAUGUGACAAAGAGUACGGACAGUGUACUUGCAAGCUGGAAUGGACCUCGACCCGCUGUGAACUAGACUUCAAUGAAUGCAGUUUUGAGUUGCCUCCGUGUACACUCGCGAAGGACCACGCCUACUGUCAUAACACUUUCGGCUCAUUUGAAUGUUACUGCGCGAGUGGAUACGAACAUUUCAACAAAACGUAUU